UACACUCCUACGGGAGGCAGCAGUGGGGAAUUUUGGACAAUGGGCGAAAGCCUGAUCCAGCAAUGCCGCGUGAGUGAAGAAGGCCUUCGGGUUGUAAAGCUCUUUUGUCAGGGAAGAAACGGUGAAAGCUAAUAUCUUUUGCUAAUGACGGUACCUGAAGAAUAAGCACCGGCUAACUACGUGCCAGCAGCCGCGGUAAUACGUAGGGUGCAAGCGUUAAUCGGAAUUACUGGGCGUAAAGCGUGCGCAGGCGGUUUUGUAAGUCUGAUGUGAAAUCCCCGGGCUCAACCUGGGAAUUGCAUUGGAGACUGCAAGGCUAGAAUCUGUCAGAGGGGGGUAGAAUUCCACGUGUAGCAGUGAAAUGCGUAGAUAUGUGGAGGAACACCGAUGGCGAAGGCAGCCCCCUGGGUCAAGAUUGACGCUCAUGCACGAAAGCGUGGGGAGCAAACAGGAUUAGAAACCCGUGUAGUCCCAUGAU
rnacentral:rRNA from 1 species